rnacentral:rRNA from 1 species
CCUACGGGUGGCUGCAGUGGGGAAUAUUGGGCAAUGGGCGCAAGCCUGACCCAGCAACGCCGCGUGAAGGAAGAAGGCUUUCGGGUUGUAAACUUCUUUUGUCAGGGACGAAGCAAGUGACGGUACCUGACGAAUAAGCCACGGCUAACUACGUGCCAGCAGCCGCGGUAAUACGUAGGUGGCAAGCGUUAUCCGGAUUUACUGGGUGUAAAGGGCGUGUAGGCGGGACUGCAAGUCAGAUGUGAAAACCACGGGCUCAACCUGUGGCCUGCAUUUGAAACUGUAGUUCUUGAGUACUGGAGAGGCAGACGGAAUUCCUAGUGUAGCGGUGAAAUGCGUAGAUAUGACGAAGAACCCCGAUUGCGAAGGCAGCUUGCUGCAGCGGAACUGACGCUGAUGCUCGAAAGCGCGGGUAUCGAACAGGAUUAGAUACCCUUGUAGUC